rnacentral:rRNA from 1 species
CCCUUAGAUGUUCUGGGCGGCCCGCGCACUACAAUGGCGUGUGCAGCGAGUGCCGAAGUAGAGUUUUCCGAGGUAUUCUUGCAAUGCUCGUUUUGAUGGGGAUAGACCCUUGCAACUGUUGGUUUUGAACGAGGAAUUCCUUGUAAGCAUGGUUUAUCAUCCGACGCUGAAUGCGUCCCUGCCCUUUGUACACACCGCCCGUCGCCCCUACCGAUGAGUCGUCCGGUGAAGUUCGUAGACCUCGUGAUCGCGGAUCACUGGGGGAAGCAAAAUGAACCUCGCGGUUUAGAGGAAGGAGAAGUCGUAACA